CGGGGUAUGGCGCAGCCCGGUAGCGCGCUUGCAUGGGGUGCAAGAGGUCCUCGGUUCGAAUCCGAGUACCCCGACCA
rnacentral:tRNA from 1 species